GAUGAACGCUAGCGAUAGGCUUAACACAUGCAAGUCGAGGGGCAGCAUGGUCUUAGCUUGCUAAGACUGAUGGCGACCGGCGCACGGGUGCGUAACGCGUAUGCAACUUGCCUCACAGAGGGGGAUAACCCGUCGAAAGACGGACUAAUACCGCGUACACUCUAUUUUGGGCAUCCAAGGUAGAGGAAAUGAAAUUCGCUGUGAGAUAGGCAUGCGUCCCAUUAGCUAGUUGGUGAGGUAACGGCUCACCAAGGCGACGAUGGGUAGGGGAACUGAGAGGUUGAACCCCCACACUGGUACUGAGACACGGACCAGACUCCUACGGGCGGCAGCAGUGAGGAAUAUUGGUCAAUGGGCGAGAGCCUGAACCAGCCAAGUCGCGUGAAGGAUGACUGUCUUAUGGAUUGUAAACUUCUGUUGUAGGGGAAUAAAGAGGGGCACGUGUGCCCCAGUGAAUGUACCCUACGAAUAAGCAUCGGCUAACUCCGUG
rnacentral:rRNA from 1 species